UUGGAGGGCAAGUCUGGUGCCAGCAGCCGCGGUAAUUCCAGCUCCAAUAGCGUAUAUUAAAGUUGUUGCAGUUAAAAAGCUCGUAGUUGAAUUUCGGGGUUAGUAGGUUGGUCAUGCCUCUGGUAUGUACUGGCCUCACUGAUUCCUCCUUCCUGAUGAGCCGUAAUGCCAUUAAUUUGGUGUUGCGGGGAAUUUGGACUGUUACUUUGAAAAAAUUAGAGUGUUUAAAGCAAGCUAACGCCUGAAUACAUUAGCAUGGAAUAAUGAAAUAGGACGUUCGAUCCUAUUUUGUUGGUUUCUAGGAUUGACGUAAUGAUUAAUAGGGAUAGUUGGGGGCAUUAGUAUUCAAUUGUCAGAGGUGAAAUUCUUGGAUUUAUUGAAGACUAACUACUGCGAAAGCAUUUGCCAUGGAUGUUUUCAUUAAUCAAGAACGAAAGUUAGGGGAUCGAAGACGAUCAGAUACCGUCGUAGUCUUAACCAUAAACUAUGCCGACUAGGGAUCGGACGAUGUUAAUUUCUUAAUGACUCAUUCGGCGCCUUACGGGAAAC
rnacentral:rRNA from 1 species